rnacentral:rRNA from 1 species
GACAGAGGCCACAAGCGUUAGGCGGAAUCACUGGGCUUAAAGCGUGUGUAGGCGGAUCGUUAAGUGCCUUGUGAAAUCCCACCGCUCACCGGUGGAACGGCUGGGCAUACUGGCGGUCUUGAGCCAUCUAGGGGCGACUGGAACAAACGGUGGAGCGGUGAAAUGCGUAGAUAUCGUUUGGAACGCCAAAGGUGAAAACAGGUCGCUGGGGAUGUGCUGACGCUGAGACACGAAAGCCAGGGGAGCAAACGGG